GGCAAUACACACUUAUAGAUGAACUGUUAAAGUUACAACAAGAUCAUGGUCAUGGGUUGGAAGGGUAGUGUUUGAUGGGUCAGAACUCAGAAGGGAAGUUUAAAAAAAAAGUAUGUUUGCAUAAGCAACAUUGUUCAGGUGCGGUCUUCAGGUUUAGCUGGGUGGGAUACCCUUAGGAACUUGUAAAGCACAGUUGCAAAGAUAGCUCCCAGAGUAGGACCUAUGAGAUAAACCCAAAUGUUUUUGUAAAUACCAGAGACUAUGGCAGGGCCUAAACUCCUUGCAGGAUUCAUGGAUGCUCCAGUAAUGGGCCUUCAGAAAAAUGAGGGAAUUCAGGUUUAGGUGGAGAAUCAACCAUAACUGUUAGUGAAUCAGCCAUAAUAGCACUUUGAUGUUAAGGCUUAGGGGAAAGUGUAGCUACAGAUUCGUUCCCUUAUAUGCACACAUGCAGCAGCAGUGUAGU